UAGCCAUGGGCAGGUUGAAGGUUGGGUAACACUAACUGGAGGACCGAACCGACUAAUGUUGAAAAAUUAGCGGAUGACUUGUGGCUGGGGGUGAAAGGCCAAUCAAACCGGGAGAUAGCUGGUUCUCCCCGAAAGCUAUUUAGGUAGCGCCUCGUGAAUUCAUCUCCGGGGGUAGAGCACUGUUUCGGCAAGGGGGUCAUCCCGACUUACCAACCCGAUGCAAACUGCGAAUACCGGAGAAUGUUAUCACGGGAGACACACGGCGGGUGCUAACGUCCGUCGUGAAGAGGGAAACAACCCAGACCGCCAGCUAAGGUCCCAAAGUCAUGGUUAAGUGGGAAACGAUGUGGGAAGGCCCAGACAGCCAGGAUGUUGGCUUAGAAGCAGCCAUCAUUUAAAGAAAGCGUAAUAGCUCACUGGUCGAGUCGGCCUGCGCGGAAGAUGUAACGGGGCUAAACCAUGCAC
rnacentral:rRNA from 1 species